rnacentral:rRNA from 1 species
CCAGAGUCCUACGGGAGGCAGCAGUAGGGAAUCUUCGGCAAUGGACGGAAGUCUGACCGAGCAACGCCGCGUGAGUGAAGAAGGUUUUCGGAUCGUAAAGCUCUGUUGUAAGAGAAGAACGAGUGUGAGAGUGGAAAGUUCACACUGUGACGGUAUCUUACCAGAAAGGGACGGCUAACUACGUGCCAGCAGCCGCGGUAAUACGUAGGUCCCGAGCGUUGUCCGGAUUUAUUGGGCGUAAAGCGAGCGCAGGCGGUUAGAUAAGUCUGAAGUUAAAGGCUGUGGCUUAACCAUAGUACGCUUUGGAAACUGUUUAACUUGAGUGCAGAAGGGGAGAGUGGAAUUCCAUGUGUAGCGGUGAAAUGCGUAGAUAUAUGGAGGAACACCGGUGGCGAAAGCGGCUCUCUGGUCUGUAACUGACGCUGAGGCUCGAAAGCGUGGGGAGCAAACAGGAUUAGAUACCCUGGUAGUCCACGCCGUAAACGAUGAGUGCUAGGUGUUGGGUCCUUUCCGGGACUCAGUGCCGUAGCUAACGCAUUAAGCACUCCGCCUGGGGAGUACGACCGCAAGGUUGAAACUCAAAGGAAUUGACGGGGGCCCGCACAAG